rnacentral:lncRNA from 1 species
CCUGACGUGAGAGCUGAAAAUCAGAGAGAACAAGAUACUUUCCAAGGUCACGUGGCCAGUAUGUACUGAGACUAAGAUCCAUGAGCCGAGGUUAGAAUGAAAAAAACUCCAAUGUGGAGUAUGCCUGAGCACCAGUUUUGCCACAUACAUAUUAAUUUGGCUCUUUCUUAAAUCUCCAGUGCCCCUGCCAAAUAAAACCCCAAGACACAAUACCUAAUGUAGAAGGUUGUAAAAAUUAAACAGAAGAUUUAAAAACAAUGACUAUUCCCUUUCUCAGAACACAAUGGUUACAAAUAUAGUCUUUAGUAGUGGUGAAAAGCUUUAUCAAAGGCUCCUGUGGUCUCUCGUAUCAUCCAGGAUGCCCGGCUUUUUAGUUGGGGGUUCUAUUUAAUGUCAGAGGCCAGACUAACUACCUGGGCUAUGAAAGACUUCAGCCAUUUGUAUUGAAGGCAAACAUAUGAGCAUUGUUAAAACAGACAUGAAGAGGAAUCCAGAAACAAGAUUAAUUCAAGGCAUUGCGAUAACCCAUUUAUACCUUCACCACAUUUAUUAGCCAAAAUAGUAUUAAAAUGAAGACAUAAAAAUUAAGUGUCUGUGGCUAUACAGCAAUGCAUAAAUCCAGAGUUGGAAAAUGCAUGCCAAUUGAUCAAGUAUUACAAUAAACAACAGCAUGUCUGUAUAGCAAAGAAAAUAUUUUACUAAGCUUUAGUUUUUAACGCAGGAGUUUUCUUUAAGAAAUGAGGUAAAGAUGGACAAUUCUUUAUGGUCAGUCCUUUGCAAGAAAAAAAAGUUGCAAACAAAACAUAUUUUCCUUUACAACCUUUGUAAUAAGCAACCUUUUACAGCAGAGAUUGUGAAAACAAAUAUGCUGUAAAUUGACCAAAUCAUGUUAUGUGCAUAUGUGAAUAUGUACAAAUCCCACUAUUAUGUAUAAUUAUUAUGUACCAAUAAAGCAUUUUUUAAACAAGUUGCAUCUACAAAAUAACCAUAGUUAAUAUCACAUUUAAUAAAAAACACUGAAAUUCUUUCCCCAAAGAUCAUGAAUAAAAAAGGCAUAUCUGCUCUUGACAUUUCUAUUCAAUAUUGUACUGGAGAAACUAUAAGAAACUAAUAAUUGGUUGUAGUACACUAGAUCAAUAUAUAAAUACCAAUUGUAUUUCUAUGUAAUAACAAUGUGCAAACAGAGAAUUAAGAAAAUAUUCCAUUUAGAUAGUCUCAAACAGAAUAAAAUGCUGGAAAUAAAUUUAACUAAAGAAGUGUAAAACAUAUACUCUGAAAAAUAUAGAACAUUAUUGAGAGAAAUUGUAGAAGAUGUACAGAAAUCCUAUGUUCAUGGAUGGACCAGAAAAUGCUAUAGUUAAGGUGGCAAAAUUUCCAUUAUUGAUGCACAGAUUCAGUGCAACUCCUUUUAAAAUCUCAAGUAAUUUUUUUUCUGUGUAAAUUUACAUAUUGAUUCCAAAAUUUACUUGGGAGUUCAGAAGACUCUGAAAAUUCAAAACAUUCUUUGAUGGGAGGGUAAGAGGAUUCAUACUUUCUGAUUUCAAAACUUACUUAUAAAAACUAUAGUAAGCAAAAAAGGAUGUUACUAUGAUAAAGAUAGAUGUAAGACAGUGGAAUACAAUUGAGAAUCUAAAAGUAACUCUCACCUUUAUAGUCAAUUUGUUUCCAAAGAGUGCCAAAAUAUUUAAAUGGAAAAAAAAACAAUAUUUUAAACAAAUGUUUCUGGAGCAACUGAAUUGAGAUAGUUUUG